UACGUAGGGUGCAAGCGUUAAUCGGAAUUACUGGGCGUAAAGGGCUCGUAGGCGGCCAACUAAGUCCGACGUGAAAUCCCCAGGCUUAACCUGGGAACUGCGUCGGAUACUGGAUGGCUUGAAUUCGGGAGAGGGAUGCAGAAUUCCAGGUGUAGCGGUGAAAUGCGUAGAUAUCUGGAGGAAUACCGGUGGCGAAGGCGGCAUCCUGGACCGACAUUGACGCUGAUGAGCGAAAGCUAGGGGAGCAAACGGG
rnacentral:rRNA from 1 species